rnacentral:rRNA from 1 species
GACAGAGGGUGCAAACGUUGUUCGGAUUUACUGGGCGUAAAGCGCGUGUAGGCGGCUUGGCAAGUCGGAUGUGAAAGCCCACGGCUCAACCGUGGAAGCGCGUCCGAAACUGCUUCGCUCGAGUCUCGGAGAGGAAGGUGGAAUGCUUGGUGUAGAGGUGAAAUUCGUAGAUAUCAAGCAGAACACCUGCGGCGAAGGCGGCCUUCUGGACGAUGACUGACGCUGAGACGCGAAAGCGUGGGGAGCGAACAGG